rnacentral:rRNA from 1 species
UACGUAGGUGGCAAGCGUUGUCCGGAUUUACUGGGCGUAAAGGGUGCGUAGGCGGGUUUUUAAGUCAGGGGUGAAAUCCUGGAGCUCAACUCCAGAACUGCCUUUGAUACUGAAGAUCUUGAGUUCGGGAGAGGUGAGUGGAACUGCGAGUGUAGAGGUGAAAUUCGUAGAUAUUCGCAAGAACACCAGUGGCGAAGGCGGCUCACUGGCCCGAUACUGACGCUGAGGCACGAAAGCGUGGGGAGCAAACAGG